rnacentral:rRNA from 1 species
UACGUAGGGGGCAAGCGUUGUCCGGAUUUAUUGGGCGUAAAGAGCGUGUAGGCGGCUGGGUAGGUCCGUUGUGAAACUCGAGGCUCAACCUCGAGACGCCGAUGGAAACCCUCCAGCUAGAGUCCGGAAGAGGAGAGUGGAAUUCCUGGUGUAGCGGUGAAAUGCGCAGAUAUCAGGAAGAACACCCGUGGCUAAGGCGGCUCUCUAGUACGGUACUGACGCUGAGACGCGAAAGCGUGGGGAGCGAACAGG